CCUACGGGUGGCAGCAGUGGGGAAUAUUGGACAAUGGGCGAAAGCCUGAUCCAGCCAUGCCGCGUGUGUGAAGAAGGCCUUCGGGUUGUAAAGCACUUUCAGUGGGGAAGAAAGCCUUGGGGCUAAUACCCUCGAGGAAGGACAUCACCCACAGAAGAAGCACCGGCUAACUCCGUGCCAGCAGCCGCGGUAAUACGGAGGGUGCGAGCGUUAAUCGGAAUUACUGGGCGUAAAGCGCGCGUAGGCGGUCUGAUAAGCCGGUUGUGAAAGCCCCGGGCUCAACCUGGGAACGGCAUCCGGAACUGUCAGGCUAGAGUGCAGGAGAGGAAGGUAGAAUUCCCGGUGUAGCGGUGAAAUGCGUAGAGAUCGGGAGGAAUACCAGUGGCGAAGGCGGCCUUCUGGACUGACACUGACGCUGAGGUGCGAAAGCGUGGGUAGCAAACAGGAUUAGAACCCCGGUAGUC
rnacentral:rRNA from 1 species